CAGACCCGGGCGUGUCUUACCACGAGGUGAUUAAAACCCCCUUUGACGUCAUCAGACCAGACAUCAUCUACAAGGGCGGAGACGACGAAAACAAGUACAAACUACGCAUUUGAUGACAUCAAGUCAAAUAGCUGUUUUUACAUUUUUAUAAAUUGAUGUGUACAGAUCUCCGUCACAAUGACGUCAGUGUCAGAUGAGACAUUACGUCACAUCCACAGAAUCCGCCGCUGUUAUUCAGUGUUUUUUUUUUCUAUGUCAAUGAAAUUAUAUUCGAUCUAUUGGAGGAAUAAAAUUAUUCGUUUUUUUUCUUUU